rnacentral:rRNA from 1 species
GACGAACGCUGGCGGCGUGCUUAACACAUGCAAGUCGAACGGAAAGGCCCUGCUUUUGUGGGGUGCUCGAGUGGCGAACGGGUGAGUAACACGUGAGUAACCUGCCCUUGACUUUGGGAUAACUUCAGGAAACUGGGGCUAAUACCGGAUAGGAGCUCCUGCUGCAUGGUGGGGGUUGGAAAGUUUCGGCGGUUGGGGAUGGACUCGCGGCUUAUCAGCUUGUUGGUGGGGUAGUGGCUUACCAAGGCUUUGACGGGUAGCCGGCCUGAGAGGGUGACCGGCGACAUUGGGACUGAGAUACGGCCCAGAGUCCAACGGGAGGCAGCAGGGGGGAAUAUUGCACAAUGGGCGGAAGCCUGAUGCAGCAACGCCGCGUGCGGGAUGACGGCCUUCGGGUUGUAAACCGCUUUCGCCUGUGACGAAGCGUGAGUGACGGUAAUGGGUAAAGAAGCACCGGCUAACUACGUG